rnacentral:rRNA from 1 species
UAAUACGGAGGGUGCGAGCGUUGUCCGGAAUCAUUGGGCGUAAAGGGCGCGUAGGUGGCCCGGUCAGUCCGUGGUGAAAGCGCGGGGCUCAACCCUGCGUCGGCCAUGGAUACUGCCGCGGCUGGAGCACUGUAGAGGCAGGCGGAAUUCCGGGUGUAGCGGUGGAAUGCGUAGAGAUCCGGAAGAACACCGGUGGCGAAGGCGGCCUGCUGGGCAGUAGCCGAA